AUGCGGGAGGAGGGAGGCGCCUCACCCGUUGUCUUCUGUCCGGCCGGCUGCAGAGCCGAGGCCGUCGCGGCGGCACUCAUGGCUGCCACAAGAGGCGUUCUGCAGGUGGCGAACGGAGGCGGCUGCGGCUCGCACUCCGGGCGUUGUUCACCGUGUGCUCUGCCAAGGGCUCAGACGACGACGACCACUUCGCCCCCGCAGGCAACGACGACGACAACGGCGCCAGGGCGUCGCCGUGCCAGCCGAGCUCACGCUGCUUCGACAGUAGGGAUUGUCCACGAUGGUGUGCGCGUGGGGGCAGGAUGA
rnacentral:rRNA from 1 species